rnacentral:lncRNA from 1 species
CAGUCUUUCAUGAACUAAGCCUGAGUCAUUGCCUGAGUGCUGACAACUCCCACUGCAGUGACUGGGGACAGGGCACAAGUAGCCGGGCUAGCUUCUGAAGAAGGAAUAUUCUUCCAUCUCAGAGUCAGAGGGCAGAUAUGAGGGGUGGGCAGAGCCAGAUGUGCCCCUGUCCAUGGGGGUGAUCGAACCCCAGAUGCUGCUCUCACCACUCAACACAGUGGAGUUUCACUGGAACCUCCCAAUGCAGUUUGGAGUUUUAAGUUGCAAGUUUCAAGUAUCUUGAAGUUUCAAGAGGAUCUCCCUCUUCCGGUGGGUGAGUCUGAAGCUGGGACUGGGUGGAGGCUGGAGGUCCUUUGGGAGUGGAAGCAGGCCUGGUGGGAAAGGAAGGGGAAUUUGGGUGGGGGUGAGGAAAUAGUAAGAACAAACCCAGUUCCAGAAAGCACUUUGAAGAUAAAAUAUGGCUAAAUGUUUAUUGAAUCUCACCAUAAGGAAGGACUUGUUUUUGUUUCUUCUUUGUGUGUGUGUGUUUAAGAUUCCAUUUAUUUAUUUGACAGAGAGCGUGAGAGAUCACAAGUAGGCAGAGAGGUGGAAACAGUCUCCCAACAUGGGGCUUGAUCCCAGGAUCUUGAGAUUAGGGCCAGAGCCAGAGGCAGAGGUUUAACCCACUAAGCCACCCAGGUGCCCCCCAAGGAAGUACUUGUUAAACCUGAAAGCAAUGGAAGAAGCUAGAAAACUCAGGAUGCAACUUAGCUUCAAAAAAAGUAAUGGUCUGCAAUACAUAGGCAAAAUUCAAAGGAGGCAUCAAAUGGGAAAAAUAGUUGUCAUAUGACAUAUGUUUAUAGCCUCCAUAUAUAAAAAGUUCUCAUAUAUCAAUAAGAAAAAUAGAUAAAAGCUCAAUAGAAAAGUAGGCAAAGGAUAUAAGCAGAUAAUUUAUGCAAGAAGGAUACAAAUU